rnacentral:rRNA from 1 species
GUCCACGCCCUAAACGAUGUCAACUAGUUGUCGGGGAAGCAAUUCCUUGGUAACGCAGCUAACGCGUGAAGUUGACCGCCUGGGGAGUACGGUCGCAAGAUUAAAACUCAAAGGAAUUGACGGGGACCCGCACAAGCGGUGGAUGAUGUGGAUUAAUUCGAUGCAACGCGAAAAACCUUACCUACCCUUGACAUGUCCAGAACCCCGAUGAAAGUUGGGGGUGCCCGAAAGGGAAUUGGAACACAGGUGCUGCAUGGCUGUCGU